AAUAAGGAUCGGCUAACUCCGUGCCAGCAGCCGCGGUAAUACGGAGGAUCCGAGCGUUAUCCGGAUUUAUUGGGUUUAAAGGGAGCGUAGAUGGAUGUUUAAGUCAGUUGUGAAAGUUUGCGGCUCAACCGUAAAAUUGCAGUUGAUACUGGAUAUCUUGAGUGCAGUUGAGGCAGGCGGAAUUCGUGGUGUAGCGGUGAAAUGCUUAGAUAUCACGAAGAACUCCGAUUGCGAAGGCAGCCUGCUAAGCUGCAACUGACAUUGAGGCUCGAAAGUGUGGGUAUCAAACAGGAUUAGAUACCCUGGUAGUCCACACAGUAAACGAUGAAUACUCGCUGUUUGCGAUAUACAGUAAGCGGCCAAGCGAAAGCGUUAAGUAUUCCACCUGGGGAGUACGCCGGCAACGGUGAAACUCAAAGGAAUUGACGGGGGCCCGCACAAGCGGAGGAACAUGUGGUUUAAUUCGAUGAUACGCGAGGAACCUUACCCGGGCUUAAAUUGCAGAUGAAUUACGGUGAAAGCCGUAAGCCGCAAGGCAUCUGUGAAGGUGCUGCAUGGUUGUCGUCAGCUCGUGCCGUGAGGUGUCGGCUUAAGUGCCAUAACGAGCGCAACCCUUAUCUUUAGUUACUAACAGGUUAUGCUGAGGACUCUAGCGAGACUGCCGUCGUAAGAUGUGAGGAAGGUGGGGAUGACGUCAAAUCAGCACGGCCCUUACGUCCGGGGCUACACACGUGUUACAAUGGGGGGUACAGAGGGCCGCUACCACGCGAGUGGAUGCCAAUCCCAAAAACCUCUCUCAGUUCGGACUGGAGUCUGCAACCCGACUCCACGAAGCUGGAUUCGCUAGUAAUCGCGCAUCAGCCACGGCGCGGUGAAUACGUUCCCGGGCCUUGUACACACCGCCCGUCAAGCCAUGGGAGCCGGGGGUACCUGAAGUGCGUAACCGCGAGGAGCGCCCUAGGGUAAAACUGGUGACUGGGGCUAAGUCGUAACAAGGUAGCCGUACCGGAAGGUGCGGCUG
rnacentral:rRNA from 1 species